rnacentral:rRNA from 1 species
UACGAAGGGGGCUAGCGUUGCUCGGAAUCACUGGGCGUAAAGCGCACGUAGGCGGAUUGCUAAGUCAGGGGUGAAAUCCUGGAGCUCAACUCCAGAACUGCCCUUGAUACUGGCGGUCUCGAGUCCGGAAGAGGCGAGUGGAAUUCCCGGUGUAGCGGUGAAAUGCGCAGAUAUCGGGAGGAACACCAAUGGCGAAGGCAGCUCGCUGGGACGGUACUGACGCUGAGGCGCGAAAGCGUGGGGGAGCAAACAGG